rnacentral:misc_RNA from 1 species
GAUGAAGAACGUAGCGAAAUGCGAUACGUAAUGUGAAUUGCAGAAUUCAGUGAAUCAUCGAGUCUUUGAACGCACAUUGCGCCCCCUGGUAUUCCGGGGGGCAUGCCUGUCCGAGCGUCAUUGCUGCCCUCAAGCACGGCUUGUGUGUUGGGCCUCCGUCCUCCUCCCGGGGGACGGGCCCGAAAGGCAGCGGCGGCACCGCGUCCGGUCCUCGAGCGUAUGGGGCUUUGUCACCCGCUCUGCAGGCCCGGCCGGCGCUGGCCGACGCGAAAGCAACCAUUUUUUCUCCAGGUUGACCUCGGAUCAGGUAGGGAUACCCGCUGAACUUAAGCAUAUCAAUAAGCGGAGGA